UUUUCACAAUGGACGAAAGUCUGAUGGAGCAAUACCACGUGAACGAUGAAGGUCUUCUGAUUGUAAAGUUCUUUUAUUUAGGAAAAAAAGCGCGCUAGGAAAUGAGCGCGCCUUGAUGGUACUAAUUGAAUAAGUGACAGCUAACUAUGU
rnacentral:rRNA from 1 species